CAACAGGGAUUCCCCUAGUAACGGCGAGUGAAGCGGGAACAGCUCAAAUUUGAAAUCUGGCCCUUGGGUCCGAGUUGUAAUUUGCAGAGGAUGCUUUUGGUGCGGUGCCUUCCGAGUUCCCUGGAACGGGACGCCUUAGAGGGUGAGAGCCCCGUACGGUUGGCCACCAAGCCUGUGUAAAGCUCCUUCGACGAGUCGAGUAGUUUGGGAAUGCUGCUCAAAAUGGGAGGUAUAUUUCUUCUAAAGCUAAAUACUGGCCAGAGACCGAUAGCGCACAAGUAGAGUGAUCGAAAGAUGAAAAGCACUUUGAAAAGAGGGUUAAAUAGCACGUGAAAUUGUUGAAAGGGAAGGAUUUAUGACCAGACUUUUUCUAGGGGGAUCAUCCGGUGUUCUCACCGGUGCACUUCCCCUAGUUGAGGCCAGCAUCGGUUUCUGUCGGGGGAUAAAAGCUUCGGGAAUGUGGCUCCCUCCGGGGAGUGUUAUAGCCCGUUGCAUAAUACCCUGACGGGGACCGAGGUUCGCGCAUUGCAAGGAUGCUGGCGUAAUGGUUAUUAAUCACCCGUCUUGAAACACGGACCAAGGAGUCGAACAUUUGUGCGAGUGUUUGGGUGUUAAACCCUCACGCGUAAUGAAAGUGAACGGAGGUGAGAGCCCUUCGGGGUGCAUCAUCGACCGAUCCUGAUGUCUUCGGAUGGAUUUGAGUAAGAGCAUAACUGUUCGGACCCGAAAGAUGGUGAACUAUGCGUGGAUAGGGUGAAGCCAGAGGAAACUCUGGUGGAGGCUCGCAGCGGUUCUGACGUGCAAAUCGAUCGUCAAAUCUGCGCAUGGGGGCGAAAGACUAAUCGA
rnacentral:rRNA from 2 species